GUCCCUGUAGCGCAAUGGAUAGUACUUUAGAUUUCUAAUCUAAAAGUCGUGGGUUAAAAUCCCAUCUGGGAUG